rnacentral:rRNA from 1 species
UACGUAGGGUGCGAGCGUUAAUCGGAAUUACUGGGCGUAAAGUGUGCGCAGGCGGCCGCGCAAGUCGAGUGUGAAAUCCCCGGGCUUAACCUGGGAACUGCGUUUGAAACUACAAGGCUAGAGUGUGGCAGAGGGGGGUGGAAUUCCACGUGUAGCAGUGAAAUGCGUAGAGAUGUGGAGGAACACCGAUGGCGAAGGCAGCCUCCUGGGCCAGCACUGACGCUCAUGCACGAAAGCGUGGGGAGCAAACAGG